CAAAAGCUCACAUGGAUUGUCAGAAUGCCCGACUUCUGGACAGAGGCCACAACCCUGUUACAGGUCGCUUGGGACCCAGGAAAAUUACCUCCCUCCUCUGAGCUCCAGACCCGAGGACCAGCAGGGCUAUAUGGAGGGUCAGUGACACCGUGGAAUUUUAACCAAGAGCCUAGUAAACUCCAAGCAUAAUGGCUCAGCCAUGACUGCGGGGUUCCUGACUCAAGGUCUCACCUCAAGCCCAAGGGCCAGGGUGGGGUGAUACAAACUGUCUG